UACGUAGGAGGCAAGCGUUGUCCGGAAUUACUGGGUGUAAAGCGCGUGUAGGCGGCAGGCCAAGUCUGUGGUGAAAUCGCUCGGCUCAACUGGGCGGGGUCCAUGGAAACUGGUCAGCUGGAGGACGGUAGAGGUGAGUGGAAUUCCCGGUGUAGUGGUGAAAUGCGUAGAUAUCGGGAGGAACACCAGUGGCGAAGGCGACUUCCUGGCCUGUUCUGACGCUGAGGCGCGAAAGCUAGGGGGAGCAAACGGGG
rnacentral:rRNA from 1 species